rnacentral:rRNA from 1 species
AUUGAACGCUGGCGGCAGGCUUAACACAUGCAAGUCGAGCGGGGAAAGGUAGCUUGCUACCUAACCUAGCGGCGGACGGGUGAGUAAUGCUUAGGAAUCUGCCUAUUAGUGGGGGACAACAUCUCGAAAGGGAUGCUAAUACCGCAUACGUCCUACGGGAGAAAGCAGGGGACCUUCGGGCCUUGCGCUAAUAGAUGAGCCUAAGUCGGAUUAGCUAGUUGGUGGGGUAAAGGCCUACCAAGGCGACGAUCUGUAGCGGGUCUGAGAGGAUGAUCCGCCACACUGGGACUGAGACACGGCCCAGACUCCUACGGGAGGCAGCAGUGGGGAAUAUUGGACCAUAGGGGGAACCCUGAUCCAGCCAUGCCGCGUGUGUGAAGAAGGCCUUUUGGUUGUAAAGCACUUUAAGCGAGGAGGAGGCUACCGAGAUUAAUACUCUUGGAUAGUGGACGUUACUCGCAGAAUAAGCACCGGCUAACUCUGUG